rfam:Echinococcus granulosus EG_S00210, whole genome shotgun sequence.
GGCCAGGUAGUUUAGUCGGUGAGUGCGUCGUGCUAGCAAUGAGAAUAUGGAGGGUUCGAGCCCCUCUCUGGUCU